CAUUGUUUUACUUUUAAUUAUUUCAAUCAAUAGUGAGCUCACCCGUGAUGUGAUGAAUUGUAAAUAGUAAUUGCUAUUAGGUAAUUCAUAUUAUGGUUUCUGUCAGCCGAGAGCUAUCUAAAUAGGACCGUUUGUGUUACGUCAAUCUUUCCUCAGUUGGCGCUAGGACUAACGUUGCCUAUAUUUUCCGGUUUGGAUGAUUGUGUUAUGCAGUCGCUACUUCUGCGAAUGUCUAAACAGGGAUCACUGUAGAUUGUUCACAUCCGUGUGUUGGUACUUGUCAAAGGGUUAAACCAACUUUGUUUUCCCCACAACAAUUUACUUUUAAAAUAUGAACUUGUUUAUUUUUUAUGGAUUUUAUGUGAAAAAAUACAUGCUCAAAAAACACAAGUAGGCCUAUGCUCUUUCUCACUUUACUAUAGCCUACUUGUAUGACCCAGAGAGCUAAAAUCACUGGGAGCAAAGUCACUCAUGUCCCUAAUUCAUGAUACACCAAAAAUAAUUCCCAAUUUAAAGUUUCUAAAUAAAUACUUAAUGUCAUAAUUAUGAAUGUUCAUGUAACACAUACGCAGGGAGUCAGGGAGCAGGUUCAGAAGGUGAUUUUAAUAAUAAGAAACAUGAAGAUAAUCAAAAUUGUAGCGUGCUGAACGUAAACAAAACUACUACUGUCUGAAGACUGAGGCUAAUGAGGGCUAAAUAAAGGGAGAAUAAUCAGGUUGAUGAUGAAGUCCAGGUGUGCGCAACAAUGGGGAGCAGGUGUGCACAAUGAUGGUUGCCAGGUGUGCGUAAUGUGGGUUGCCAGGACCGGUGCUUAGUUGACCGGCGACGUCGAGCGCCGGAGCAGGCGAGCAUGAUUAGACAUGACAGUACCCCUCCUGACGUACGGCUACAGCCGCAGGGUAACGCUGACCAGGGGGACGGCCCCGGUGGCGAGGAGUGGGCUGGUCCGGACCGCGGAGGUGGAAAUCGCAGGCAAUGUUGGGAUCCAGGAUGUCUUCCACCGGGACCCAACAGCGCUCCUCUGGACCGUACCCCUCCCAGUCCACCAGGUACUGGAUCCGACCCCCACGACGUCAGGAGUCCAGGAGGGACCUGACAGCAUAGGCGGGGCUCCCAUCAAUAUCCAGGGGAGGUGGAAGGGUGUCGCGGAGGACGGCACCAGCCAGUGGACCAAACCUCCUCUACGUACCUGAACCACUCGUCCACCGCAGGAGUUUCGGUCUGGCUUGGGGUCCAUGGAGCCAGGGCUGGCUGAUAUCCCAGGACACACUGGAAGGGGGUCAGCCCGGUGGAGGAGUGACGCUGUGAAUUCUGGCCGUACUCUGCCCAGGGAAGGAACUGGCCCAUUCCCCCUCGCAGUGACUCCUAAGGAACCUCCCCAGCUCCUGGUUCAUCCUCUCUACUUGCCCGUCGGACUGAGGCUGGUACCCGGGUGUGAGGCUUAUCGUGACCCCCAGCUUCUCCAUGAAGGCUUUCCAUACCCGAGACGUGAAUCGCCUCCUGGGGACUCAGUCAAGACAUACCGGUCUGCAUUACAACGGAUAGGGGUGCGAGCGUGGUGAUGGCCGCUCAAAUCAACAAAUGGACUGCAAUGUUUUGGACAUCGUCUGCACUUGGCCAGGCCAUUGCACAAGUUGGAGACAGAGUCGCCUACCAGGUGGGGAUCAUGUCAAAAGAUGGUGCAAAGAGUCCUUGGAGCAGGAGAAAGCCAUUUCGCAGGUCUUGACCAGUGACCAGAAGACCCGGCACUUAGCUCCCACCUAUACUGAUAUAGAUGUUCUUGAGUCCAUCAACCAGAUAUUGACCCCACUCCUAGAAUUCACAGAUGCUCUGUCUGGUGAGUCCUAUGUCAGUGUGUCUUAUCUGAAGCCAGUACUACACCUGUUCAAUACAGAGGUCAUGAAACCUGAUGGUGAAACAGAGCUCACCCAAACCAUCAAAAAGAUAGUCAUGAACUAUCUGAAUGAGAAAUAUGAUGACCUAGCCACAGAUGACCUCCUGGACAUAGCCUCGUUGGUUGACCUUCGGUUUAAAACGCAUUACAUCAAAGAGGAGAAGGUGGGCCACAUAAAAGCUGUCUCAUAGAUGGUCAAUGAGGGACAUGAAAGCCCAGCACAGGGAGACGUUGCUGCUGCUUCACCACAACUGCCAGCUAAAAAGAUAAAUUAAUUGGGCAGUUUUUUCAAAAGUCCAUGCUCCAUCACCACAGGUCUUACUGAAAUCCAGCUGGUUAGAGAAGUAACUCAGCUGCUACCUUUAGUCUCCUGAUGCUGUCAGUGAAACCAAUCCACUGAACUGGUGGAAGAUCCACCCAAAAAAUAUUCCCAAAGUCAGCCACCUAGCAAAGCACUACCUGUGCAUUCCUGUGACCAGCUCCCCCUCAGAGCGCGCUUUUUAGCACAGGUGGCAACAUAGUGACCUGCCAUAGGGCAAAAAGCCAGAGAUCGUAGACAGACUUGUCUUUCUUGCUUGUAACUUGUAAGACAGCAACUACCCCAACUUCAAUUGUGAUGUGCCAUUAGGCUAACAGUUAUAAUGCAUAUUGCCUUGCACUAUUGCUGUUCACAACUUGUAAGGGUUUAUAGCUUUUUUUAAAGUGGAGUUAAUGUUAUUUGUGAGUUAUUCUACUACUGACAAUAAAUAAGAAACAUUAAAGCGUU